CCUGAAAGGGGAAAUCCACACAAAGAGAAUUGAAAGAUUAAACACUUGUUCUCUGCAACACAGCGGGGACUCCCCACCCCCAGAAUGGCUGACUUGGAACCCUGGUUUGGAGAACAGUGACCACCAAUGGAAGAUUAAAGGCAUCUAGUCUACAUAAGCAUGCUAUUGCCACUGGGAGAGAGAACCCAUGAAGGAAGAACAAACGGAGAAAGGUGAAAAGAUGGCAACGUCAAAGAUCAUCAUGGGGCAAGAAACUCUCCCAGCUACAUCAUAUCUGGCGAUGGCCUUUCACACAAGCCAAAGGGGCCCAACCUUCAAAGAGAGUCUCUGCCAAUACAUCUCAUCGGUGGCCCUCUGAUCUACUACCCUCUAAUUCUAAUCAUGGGGCCUCUUUAGCAGAGAACACCAACUUAUGGAAUGGCUGGAGGAAAUCAGAUGCAAUCAAAACAAAAUAUAAAUACAAAUGGAAAUAACCGGCAGAAUUCGUUAUUGCUGGCCUGGGACAGCCCAAGCCAACUUUCUAAGUUACAGGGUUGGUGGUUGUAAUGGUUAUUUCUGAGAUAAUCUUAGCAAAGGCAAAAUAGGCUCGAUAGCCUGAAAAUAAAU